rnacentral:rRNA from 1 species
UACGGAGGGUGCAAGCGUUAUCCGGAUUCACUGGGUUUAAAGGGUGCGUAGGCGGCCUGUUGCGUCCGCUGUGAAAUCCCGGGGCUUAACCCCGGGCGUGCAGUGGAUACGGGCUGGCUGGAGGCAGGCAGGGGAGAACGGAAUUCCCGGUGUAGCGGUGAAAUGCGCAGAUAUCGGGAAGAACACCUAUGGCGAAGGCAGCUCUCUGGGACGGUACUGACGCUGAGACGCGAAAGCGUGGGGAGCGAACAGG